GACGAACGCUGGCGGCGUGCUUAACACAUGCAAGUCGAACGGAAAGGCCCUGCUUUUGUGGGGUGCUCGAGUGGCGAACGGGUGAGUAACACGUGAGUAACCUGCCCUUGACUUUGGGAUAACUUCAGGAAACUGGGGCUAAUACCGGAUAGGAUCUCCUGCUGCAUGGUGGGGGUUGGAAAGUUUCGGCGGUUGGGGAUGGACUCGCGGCUUAUCAGCUUGUUGGUGGGGUAGUGGCUUACCAAGGCUUUGACGGGUAGCCGGCCUGAGAGGGUGACCGGCGACAUUGGGACUGAGAUACGGCCCAGACUCCAACGGGAGGCAACGGGGGGGAAUAUUGCACAAUGGGCGGAAGCCUGAUGCAGCAGCGCCGCGUGCGGGAUGACGGCCUUCGGGUUGUAAACCGCUUUCGCCUGUGACGAGGCGUGAGUGACGGUAAUGGGUAAAGAAGCACCGGCUAACUACGUG
rnacentral:rRNA from 1 species